GAUGAAGAACGCAGCGAAAUGCGAUAAGUAAUGUGAAUUGCAGAAUUCAGUGAAUCAUCGGAUCUUUGAACGCACAUUGCGCCCGUCAGUAUUCUGGCGGGCAUGCCUGUUCGAGCGUCAUUACGCCCCUCAAGUCCCCUGUGGACUUGGUGUUGGGGAUCGGCGAGGCUGGUUUUCCAGCACAGCCGUCCCUUAAAUUAAUUGGCGGUCUCGCCGUGGCCCUCCUCUGCGCAGUAGUAAAACACUCGCAACAGGAGCCCGGCGCGGUCCACUGCCGUAAAACCCCCCAACUUUUUAUAGUUGACCUCGAAUCAGGUAGGACUACCCGCUGAACUUAAGCAUAUCAAUAAGCGGAGGA
rnacentral:misc_RNA from 1 species